AUUGAACGCUGGCGGCAGGCCUAACACAUGCAAGUCGAGCGAGCGGAGGACGGGUGAGUCAUGUAUGGGGAUCUGCCAGAUGGAGGGGGAUAACUACUGGAAACGGUAGCUAAUACCGCAUACAAUCAGAUGAACCCAUAUGGGAAUAGCUUGUAGGUAAGGUAACGGCUUACCUAGGCGACGAUCCCUAGCUGGUCUGAGAGGAUGAUCAGUGACACUGGGACGGAGACACGGCCCAGACUCCUACGCGCGGAAGCAUUGGGGAAUAUUGCACAAUGGGCGCAAGCCUGAUGCAGCCAUGCCGCGUGUAUGAAGAAGGCCUUCGGGUUGUAAAGUACUUUCAGUCGGGAGGCGUUACCGACAGAAGAAGCACCGGCUAACUCCGUGCCAGCAGCCGCGGUAAUAC
rnacentral:rRNA from 1 species